AACGGCGAGUGAAGCGGCAAAAGCUCAAAUUUGAAAUCUGGCCCCGUCAGGAGCUCGAGUUGUAAUUUGGAGAGGACACUUCGGAUGUGGCCGCGGCGUAAGUCCCUUGGAACAGGGCGUCAUAGAGGGUGAGAAUCCCGUCUUGCGCCGCCGGACCACGCCCAUGCGAAGUUCCUUCGACGAGUCGAGUUGUUUGGGAAUGCAGCUCUAAGUGGGUGGUAAAUUUCAUCUAAAGCUAAAUAUUGGCCAGAGACCGAUAGCGAACAAGUAGAGUGAUCGAAAGGUUAAAAGCACCUUGAAAAGGGAGUUAAAUAGCACGUGAAAUUGUUGAAAGGGAAGCGCUUGCAACCAGACUCGGUCGCGGGGGCUCAUCGGGCAUGCUUGCCCGUGUACUCCCCCGCGUUCGGGCCAGCAUCGGUUCCGGCGGUUGGUGAAAGGCCCCUGGAAUGUGUCUUCCUCCGGGACGUCUUAUAGCCAGGGGCGCAAUGCUGCCAGCCGGGACCGAGGAACGCGCUUCGGCACGGAUGCUGGCAUAAUGGUUGUAAGCGGCCCGUCUUGAAACACGGACCAAGGAGUCUAACAUCCACGCGAGUGUUCGGGUGUCAAACCCGUGCGCGCAGUGAAAGCGAACGGAGGUAGGAGCCCUCACGGGUGCACUAUCGACCGAUCCUGAAGUCUUCGGAUGGAUUUGAGUAGGAGCGUGGCUGUUGGGACCCGAAAGAUGGUGAACUAUGCCUGAAUAGGGGUGAAGCCAGAGGAAACUCUGGUGGAGGCUCGCAGCGGUUCUGACGUGCAAAUCGUUCGUCAAAUUU
rnacentral:rRNA from 2 species